AACGAACGCUGGCGGCGUGGAUAAGACAUGCAAGUCGAACGGGACAGACCGAGUAGCAAUAUUUGGAUGUUCAGUGGCGAACGGGUGCGUAACACGUGGAUAACAUUCCGGAAAGCGGGGAAUAGCCCAGGGAAACUUGGAUUAAUACCGCAUGUGGCCGCAAGGCUAAAGACGGGGACCGCAAGGCCUGUCACUUUCCGAUUGGUCCGCGGCCUAUCAGCUAGUUGGCGGGGUAAUGGCCCACCAAGGCUACGACGGGUAGCUGGUCUUAGAGGACGACCAGCCAGACUGGAACUGAGACACGGUCCAGACACCUACGGGUGGCAGCAGUCGAGAAUCUUUCACAAUGGGGGCAACCCUGAUGGAGCGACGCCGCGUGGAGGAUAAGGUCUUCGGAUUGUAAACUCCUGUCAUGCGAGAACAAGGUACUCAGGCUAAUAACCUGAUUGUUUGAUGGUACCGCAAGAGGAAGAGACGGCUAACUCUGUGCCAGCCGCCGCGGUAAUAC
rnacentral:rRNA from 1 species